rnacentral:rRNA from 1 species
CACUAGGAGAAACUUACUCUUAGCAGUACCUGCCCAGUGCAAAGUUGUAAACGGCCGCCCUAGCGUGAGGGUGCCAAGGUAGCGAAAUUCCUUGCCUUUUAAUUGUAGGCCUGCAUGAAUGGAUUGACGAGGGUCAAACUGUCUCUUGCUUUGUAUGACGAAAUUGGACUGAAGGUGAAGAUACCUUCAUGUAAAAGUUAGACAAGAAGACCCCGUGCAGCUUUUAAAAACUUACUUAUUAAGAGUUAUAAGAUUUUUAGGUGGGGCGCCUAGGAAGUAAAACUUAACCUUCUUAUUUGUUAAAAGUAACUGUCUGGUGUAGACCCGGCAAGUCCGAUCAUGGGAGAAGUUACGCCGGGGAUAACAGGCUUAUCCAUUAGUAGAGCUCGUAUUGGCUAAUGGGAUUGGCACCUCGAUGUUGAAUUAAGGAUGAUAACUCUAAGGCGUAGAGGCUUUGGAAGUGGGUCUGUUCGACCUUUAAUACCUU